UGGGGAAUAUUGCACAAUGGGCGCAAGCCUGAUGCAGCCAUGCCGCGUGUGUGAAGAAGGCCUUCGGGUUGUAAAGCACUUUCAGCGAGGAGGAAGGGUGGUGUGUUAAUAGCACAUCACAUUGACGUUACUCGCAGAAGAAGCACCGGCUAACUCCGUGCCAGCAGCCGCGGUAAUACGGAGGGGGCAAGCGUUAAUCGGAAUUACUGGGCGUAAAGCGCACGCAGGCGGUGUGUUAAGUCAGAUGUGAAAUCCCCGCGCUUAACGUGGGAACUGCAUUUGAAACUGGCAAGCUAGAGUCUUGUAGAGGGGGGUAGAAUUCCAGGUGUAGCGGUGAAAUGCGUAGAGAUCUGGAGGAAUACCGGUGGCGAAGGCGGCCCCCUGGACAAAGACUGACGCUCAGGUGCGAAAGCGUGGGGAGCAAACA
rnacentral:rRNA from 1 species